CGACAGUCGUGACAUGAGCGGCUCGUAUCAGCUGACCGCUCGCUCCACUGAUAGUUUAUCGCUCGAUUCAGUGAUGUUGUGUCAUGUGAGGGAGCUGUUCUUCAGAGCAUGCGUUCCUGUCUUCAAACUCAGCUAGACUGAGCCCAGCGCAAUAACAGAACGCAGUGUUCAAACACCGCGGCCAGAGACGUCGAGCUGACGUAACUUACUGUGUGCAUGACAACAAUAAACAACACACACGGAACGCGAUAAUAAACCUUCAACACUGAGCGAAAAAAGUUUCGUCUACUGUUUGACUGUGCUCGGUUUUAUGAAGGUCUUUUGGGUGUGUCAUCUCCGUUUACUGCUGCAGAUUUCUUUGUAAUCAUCUGAUUUCAAGGGAUUUCAACAUCGGGCUCUGAGAUUGAGGCAAUGCAUGCUCAGAACUUAUCUCACUAGUUUGUGACUCAAUGAACCGAUCUAUCUCAAAUGAAUGAACAUUGUGCGCACCAAAAGUAUCUGCACCCGGCUCUGCUUCCUCUUGCUCUUUUAAUUUGUGCCUUUUCUUCUUUUUGUUUUUACUGGUUAAUGUGCUGUCUGAAGGGACAGGGGAAUUAGUUUUUUCCACACAUUCUGCUGUGUUUCCUGACUGCAAGCAUCGUGUUUUUCAGCCCAAUGAUGUAAUCAACUUGAGAUGGAGAACCUGCAUUCUGACUUUCCUUUUUACGUUUGGCCACUUUUAACAUUUGUGCUGCAUUAUCUUCCAAAUAUUCCAGUGCACUGCCAUCGCUUGGCCUUUUUCAAUCAUCUUUUGUGCUGUCAGCCUAACAUCAUCAAACUGAAACAAAGAACUCACAUCCAGAUUCACAUCAACAGAUUUAUACCGAUGUUUCUCAUUUCACCUUUUUUUCUCUUCUUUUUCUUUACUGAGCUUAAUUUAGCUACAUUGGCUGAAGGACAUCUUUUCAUUUCCUCUGAUGUCUGUAAAUGCUCAAACUGAUCACUCUCUGUAGACUGAAUCAAAUUAUUUCUUCCAGUUUAUGAAGUUUUAACAUCCACGUGUUCUAACUGAACAUUAUACUCAAGUUCUGCAUCCUUUCGCUCUUUUAAUUUCUUUUUCAUCUUUUUCUUUUUGUCCUUUGUGAUAACAGUGCCAUCUGAACUUAGAUUUCAGUUUUUUUCCAAGAGUUCGGCUCUGCUCUCUGAUUGCGAGCUGGAUGCUUAUUUCUGCAGUCCAAUUACGUCAUCACUUUGAGAUGGAGAACUUGCAUUUUGACUUUUCUUUUUGCAUUGGGAAACCUUUAAAAUAUGUGGUGUAUUACCCUCCAAAUGUUCAGCUGUGUGGUCAUCGCUUGGCCUCUCUUCAGUGACCUGAUCUUCUUCUUGUUCAACCACUCUGAAUAAAGCAACGUGAUUAAACUGAGACCCAAAAUUUAGAUCCAGAUCAACAGAUUCAUCUUUAGGCUCCUCAGUCUCAUCUCUUUUCGUCUCUGAAUGCUCAGAUAGAUCAGCCUCUGGAGCUUCACUUGAUUGAUUCAUUUCAUUUACUCUCAACUCUGCAGGUCUAUCAGAGUUCAAAGUUUCGCUUGAUGGGAUUUCUGUAGCACCAUUCUCCUCUACAUAUGCCAUCUUAGUCCUCUCUUUUUCUUUUCUUUUCUUCUUUUUUAGUUACUUUGGUUGUCAGUUCAGUAGUUUGUGACAUGUGUCUCAUCUGACGGAUUUCUACACUAGGCUCUGCAUCCUCAGCUCGUUUAAUUCUUACUUCUUCUUCUUAACCCUUUGUGAUAACACUAUUGUCUGCCACCGUAGAUAAAAUAAUUUCCUCCAAUAGCUCUGAUGUCUCUUCUGAAUGUAAAACUGAUGCUUCUCUCCACCUUCAAUACCACGACUUAGGUGCCCUUGAGCAAGGCAUCGAACCCCCAACUGCUCCCUGG